rnacentral:lncRNA from 1 species
GGCCUGGACUUCUCUGGCAGGAAGCACUGAUAGUUUCAGGGUUGGGAGUUAUUCCUGAGCCCCCUUGCUCUCCCUGAGCUGGGGUCGGGGUGGGGAAGGGGUACCGGGGCUGGGCUGUGACUCUCUGCUUCUCCUCAGUGUUCAUUUCCAGUUACAUGGUGUUGGCACCUGUGUUUGGCUACCUGGGUGACAGGUACAAUCGGAAGUAUCUCAUGUGCGGGGGCAUUGCCUUCUGGUCCCUGGUGACACUGGGGUCGUCCUUCAUCCCCAGAGAGGUGAGGCCCCAUGCUGGCUCCUGUUUCUGCCCCACCCCCACCCCCCACCCAUCAGUCUUUGCUGCCAUUCUUUGGGGUCGUUGCAGNNNNNNNNNNNNNNNNNNNNNNNNNNNNNNNNNNNNNNNNNNNNNNNNNNNNNNNNNNNNNNNNNNNNNNNNNNNNNNNNNNNNNNNNNNNNNNNNNNNNNNNNNNNNNNNNNNNNNNNNNNNNNNNNNNNNNNNNNNNNNNNNNNNNNNNNNNNNNNNNNNNNNNNNNNNNNNNNNNNNNNNNNNNNNNNNNNNNNNNNNNNNNNNNNNNNNNNNNNNNNNNNNNNNNNNNNNNNNNNNNNNNNNNNNNNNNNNNNNNNNNNNNNNNNNNNNNNNNNNNNNNNNNNNNNNNNNNNNNNNNNNNNNNNNNNNNNNNNNNNNNNNNNNNNNNNNNNNNNNNNNNNNNNNNNNNNNNNNNNNNNNNNNNNNNNNNNNNNNNNNNNNNNNNNNNNNNNNNNNNNNNNNNNNNNNNNNNNNNNNNNNNNNNNNNNNNNNNNNNNNNNNNNNNNNNNNNNNNNNNNNNNNNNNNNNNNNNNNNNNNNNNNNNNNNNNNNNNNNNNNNNNNNNNNNNNNNNNNNNNNNUUUUUUUUUUAUUUUUUUUUAUUUUUUUUCAACGUUUUUUUAUUUUUAUUUUUGGGACAGACAGAGACAGAGCAUGAACGGGGGAGGGGCAGAGAGAGAGGGAGACACAGAAUCGGAAACAGGCUCCAGGCUCUGAGCAGUCAGCACAGAGCCCGACGCGGGGCUCGAACUAACAGACCGCGAGAUCGUGACCUGGCUGAAGUCGGACGCUUAACCGACUGCGCCACCCAGGCGCCCCUGUCUUCCUCUUCUGAGUCAGACUGCCCACAAGGUCCCCUUGACCGAGCUCCAUCCUGGGUGAAGGAGCAGACAGGGAGAGGCUCUCACUUUGCUUGCACUUCCUCUCCUCCCACUCACCCCGGAACACUGCCGGCCAACCUACCCCCACCACUCCAUUGCCAAAGUGACAGAAACCUUUUGGUUGCUAAAUGUAGCUCCUGCUUCCUAAUCCUGCUCUUGCUAGAUCUCCUGGGAGCCUCUGGCUCUAUUGACUCACUUCCUCCUUCCGGAAACUCUCUCCUAACUUCUGUGAUGCCACUCUUGUGGUUUUCUUCCCGCCUCCUUGGCUGUUACUUCUUUGCUCCUUUGAAAUCCCUUCUGUCUGUUCUUACUCUCUGCCCCUGGAACUCUGUCCUCAGCCCCGGGUACUGCAUACUCUCCUUGGGUGAUCAUGCCCUGUCCUUAGCUUCAGGUGUCUUUGAUAGACGAAUAAACUUCCGCCUCAGAUCAUUAUUCACGAUUGGAGUGUCUUGGAUGGUAGAAAUUAAGAUUUGUUCUACACCUGUCGGGGCACGAGAUACUGAAUAAAACUUGUAUCGUCCCGUCCUGGUGAUAGUUGUGUGAGCAAGUUAUUGUUUUCCCCCUUUUCAGAUGAGGAAACUGAGGCUCAGAGAGGUUAAGUUGCUUUCCCAAAGUCACAGCUAGUACGUAGUGGAGCCAGGAUUCAAGCUCAGGUCUGUCCAGCUCAGGCCUCGCCCACCAUCCCCGCCCCCUCUCCCGAGCCAGCUGGUGAAGGCGGGGUGCCACCUCCCCCAUGUUUCGUUCCCCAGCAAUUCUGGCUCCUCCUCCUGACCCGGGGCCUGGUGGGGGUCGGGGAGGCCAGUUACUCCACUAUCGCGCCCACCCUCAUCGCCGACCUCUUCGUGGCAGACCAGCGGAGUCGGAUGCUUAGUGUGUUCUACUUUGCCAUCCCGGUGGGCAGGUGCGUGGGCCUGGGGCCUGGGGGGGAGCACGGGAGGCGGGAGGGCCUGGCGUGGGGGCAUGGCUGACCGGCUCUCCCCUCUCCUCUCCCAUCCCCUUUCCCCAGUGGUCUGGGUUACAUUGCAGGCUCCAAAGUGAAAGAUAUGGCCGGGGACUGGCACUGGGCUCUGCGGGUGAGUUUGGACACAGCCUGGGGGAAGGUCAGCGACGUUGUCACUGCUUCUCCCUCUCCUACCUUCAGACAUCUCCUAACCCUAACCACCCCCCCACCCCCCGCCUUUUAAGGCAGCGCUCACUCUGCCAAGCCUGUGGGAAGCCAUGUGCAGACAGAACUCUUGGUUGUGGGUGGUAGCAGCUCACUGUAAAACUGUAAGCUCCCGGAUGGGACUCUGUUGGCUCUCAUAGUGGAAAGCCCCAGGGUGAGCGUCAGGUAAAGCUGGAUCCAGGACUCCCACUCCGUCCUAGGAGUUUGAUCAUCCUUUUUCUCAGUGCUGCUUUUCCUCUGUGUUAAUUUCAUUCUCAAGCAAGUGAAAGCUCCACGCAUUUAUCUUCCCAUUUAGAAACCUCGCCACCCUGGAGCCUUGAGCACUAAGUCCUGGAUGGUGUCUGAUUAGAUGAGCACGGGUCACGUGCCUGCCACUAAACAAUCACCGAGGCCAGGGAGGUUCACACCACUCUUGUCGGCCAAGUCUGGGUUAUAAGCCCUGCCCUGUUUGAACCACAUGGACUGAGAGAAGUGGGGGGAGUAGUUUCCCAAAAGGAAACUGGGGUGCUGUUACCAAAGAGGGAGCAGUUAGGCUUGCGGAAGCAGGGGGCCCCUAGUGGCAGUUGCUCUGCCCUCCAAACGCACGUUCAGCUUCCUUGAGCACGUGGCUUACUGGUGUUUGAGGUCUUGGGGCCUGAGUUGCCUUCACACACCCUCACUUUCUCCCAUCCCAGGGGCGUGGAGGUGUCCCUGCCUGUCUGUGCCCGUCCUGAAGCCCACUCUUUCCCCAGGUGACACCAGGUCUAGGAGUGGUGGCUGUUCUGCUGCUGUUCCUGGUAGUCCGGGAGCCGCCACGGGGAGCUGUGGAACGCCACUCAGACUCACCACCCCUGAACCCCACCUCGUGGUGGGCAGAUCUGAGGGCUCUGGCAAGGAAGUGAGUUUAGUUCCAUUCUAACCCAACAUCUGAGGCCCCCCCAGGGAGGCCUCCGUAUCUGUUCUGAGAUUUACAGGAGCAUGGUCUUUGUUUUCUGCCAGCUGGCCCUCCCCCAAAGCCAGGUCACCACUGCCCCCUUGUGGCAGAUGCUUGAAUUACAGGCCCAGAUCCUGGGCGCCAAGACAGCUCCCACACCCGUCUCCUAACCUUACUUUAAAAGUAAGCCGGGGAGAGAGAGUAGAAGUCCCCUACCCUGGCACCUCAGUGGAGUCUGAGUUCCUUCUUCCCACCUGUCUUCAGUCCUAGUUUCAUCCUCUCUUCCCUUGGCUUCACUGCUGUGGCCUUCGUCACGGGCUCCCUGGCUCUUUGGGCUCCUGCAUUCUUGCUGCGUUCCCGUGUGGUCUUGGGGGAGACCCCACCCUGCCUUCCUGGAGACUCCUGCUCUUCCUCUGACAGGUACCCAGAUGGGGGCUAGGCCAGGGGUGGCCUGCAGGUGGCAGGGGAUGGAGCGGAGAGAGUCAUUGAUUCAGGGUCAGGCUACUUCUUCUCCCAGUCUCAGUUUUCCUGGCGGAGGAAACCGAUGGUAGGAUAAUGCCUUCCUCUCAGAGCUCCGUGAACCAUAGAGUACCUGGAUAGAGCUGGGGUCAGGGCGGCUGGGAUGGAGCAUCUUCUCCAGGCGGUGGGGGCGAGGCGAGGCGAGGGGGCUUUGCAGGCAGAGGGACUGGCUCCCAUGUCCCUCCCCCUGCCCCCAGCCUCAUCUUUGGGCUCAUCACCUGCCUGACCGGGGUCCUGGGUGUGGGCCUGGGCGUGGAGAUCAGCCGCCGCCUCCGCCGUUCCAACCCCCGGGCUGACCCACUGGUCUGUGCUGCUGGCCUCUUGGGCUCCGCGCCCUUCCUCUUCCUGUCCCUUGCCUGUGCUCGUGGUAGCAUCGUGGCCACCUAUGUGAGUAGCCAGCAGGUGUCAAAAGGGGUGUUGUGGGUCUGGGGUGGUGGGACGGUGGGACGGUGCCUCUGCCGGGGCAGGACUGGGGUUCAUCAGCAUAGUGGUUCAGAGACCACUUGAACCAGAAGGCCUGCUUUUGGACCUCAACUCUGGCUCUUCCCAGCUGUGCGACAUUAGGCAAGUGAGUUAACCUCUCUGUGCUCAGUCUUAGCAUCUGUAAAAUGGGAAUAAGAGCUUUGUCUCACAGGGGUGUCUCGAGGAUUAAGUUGAAUGAGUUAAUACGCGGGCCUGGUCCAGGGUCGUGUGUUUGCUCUUGUUGCGAUGAGACCAACCCCCCCCCCCCCCCCCCGCCCAGAUUUUCAUCUUUAUUGGAGAGACGCUGCUGUCCAUGAACUGGGCCGUCGUGGCUGACAUUCUGUUGGUGAGUAGGCGGGCCACUGCAGGGUUAGCCCAGAGGCUGUUGGGAGCAAGGAGUGGGGGCGGAAGCCUCACUUGCCUUAAUUGUGGCCUUCACCCCUUCUUCAAAACCCAGCCCCAGACUGAAUUCAGAGUCAGCCCCAGAUGGGCCUGGAGUCUGGGCAUUCACCCCACUCACACCUCAGGGCUGGGGUUCACCUUUGACCUCAGCCUAGACUGAGCCUUGGCCCUGUCCUUGCCCUCUGCCUCCCACCCCCCUUCUCCCCAGUAUGUGGUGAUUCCCACGCGACGGUCCACUGCCGAGGCCUUCCAGAUCGUGUUGUCCCACCUGCUGGGCGAUGCCGGGAGCCCCUACCUCGUUGGCCUGGUGAGCACCGCCCCUUGGCUGGGCCCGGGGUGGGGUCGGGGGACCCUGCGUUCCUGGCACUGGCUGGCAGCCGUUGGCCUCAGCUUGAGCUGACUUACAAGGUCUGACCCAGUGGGGUGGUCGUGUGCUCUGCGCCCGGCGCCCCUCACCUCGGAGCCUCAGCCAGGCGGGCAGGACUUCGUUUUGGAAGAUUCCGCAGCGAGGCCACGGGGCUUUCCCUGGUUCCCCAGACCACCCUUCUUUGCCAGCUCCCGACUCCUUUGUUCUUCCGCAGUCUGGGGGCUCCCUGUCCGUGACUCGUUCUCCUGGCUCUCCUCUCUCGUCUCCCUGCAGAUCUCCGACCGCCUCCGCCGGAGUUGGCCCCCCUCCUUCUUGUCCGAGUUCCGAGCCCUGCAGUUCUCCCUCAUGCUCUGCGCCUUCGUCGGGGCUCUGGGCGGGGCAGCCUUCCUGGGCACUGCCAUUUUCAUUGAGGGUGACCGCCGGCAGGCUCAGCUGCACGUGCAGGGUCAGUGGGGGCCUUCCCUUUGUCCAUCCCUGACUCCUUGCCCAACUUCAUGAUACCCCGUGCUUGUCCGUCCGUCCAUCUGCCCGGACCUGUGUCCCUGGCUUCUCUCAGCCCACGGUUCUUCCCCCAUCCUGCUUUGGGUCCGGCUGUCCAACGAGCUGACGCUCCACUGUGCCCGCAGCGCUGGUGGCUCUGCCGCCCCGUGUCCACUUCCCGCCGCCCGUCUGUCCCCUCCCUGGCUUUGUGUCUUUCCGUCCAUCCAGCCCUUUCUCUGACCCCUCCCUUGGCAGGUCUGCUGCGUGAGGCAGGGCCCACAGAUGACCGGAUCGUGGUACCCCGGCGAGGCCGCUCCACCCGCGUCCCCGUGUCCAGCGUGCUCAUCUGAGGGGCCGUCGCUCGCCAGCGCGCAUCCCUAUCCCAGCUGGCCCUGGGCCCGCCCCAGAAGGUGCCCGGGCCCGAACCCUUGGACUGGCCCAGCUUCUAGGAACGGCCUCGGGCCGCGUUCCAGCUCCCAUACACUACACAGGCAGCGGUCGGUCGGGGCAGGGGGCCGGUGGGUCCGGGAGGGGCCUUCCUCUCUCCUGGAGCAGCCCCAGGGGCUCGGUGCUAUUUGUAACUGAAUAAAAUUUGUAGUCAGACCCCAAGUGCCUGCUCGAGUCUCUCUGGGCGGUCGUAUCUCUGGCUGGCAGACCUCAGGGGAUGCCCUCUAGCCCCAGGACUCCCGGGGCUAGAGGGUCACUCCUGUGGGGACCUUAGGCAAAUCCCUGCUCUCCGGGGGCCUGGCGAACAGCGGUGUGGGGUGAGCGAGCUCAGUAUGACCGUGAGUCAGAACCGUGGUUCCCCUAGAGCCCGCCCCUCUUGGCAGGCCGGCCAGGGUGAGGUGGGGUGGGCACUGCCCUGUGCCCCUCAGCUCCCAGGGGCAGGGCCUCCCUCCUGGCUGCCUCCUUGGGCCACGGCUGUGGAGGCCGUGGCCGUGGGCUGGCCUGUCCGCGUCUUGCCCUUCUUCCCCUGGUAGGGCUCGCUCUGCGUCCUGGGGGCCAGCAGACCCCUCUCGAGGGCCUGCGGGUGGCCCCGCGGGCCUCCGCCUCCCCCUCCCCACUGGCUGGGUGGGGGUGGGAAGGGGGCGGGUGCAGCUGGCUGAGCCCGAUGAUUUCCUGCCCUCGCCCGGGCUCACCACAGCUUCCUGCCACAGGCGGGCAGGCGCUGAGGAGAAGCAGGCGCCUAGCCGAGCGGCAGGUAGGGCUGGGGCGCGCAGGGGCCGCGCGCCGCCGGGUGCCUGGUGCCCCAGACUCCAGCCCGGACCCUGGCCGGACUGCGCAGGGAGCAGGGGUCUUGCACGGUCGGCGCUGACCCGCCCCCCCCCCCACUCAGCCCAGAAAGGGGAAGGGGCCAGUGAGUCCCCAAGGAGGGCGCGCUUGCCCCCCACCCCCCCACCCCCGUCGGGCUUCCAGGCUGUGCCCACCCGGCUCCCGCACCCCUGCUGGCCUGGCCCUCACCCCUCCGCGGCUCGGCCCUUGAGGGGGUGAGCGGCGGGCAGCCGGGCCUGGUGCAAGCUCUCUCCCGCAGAUGGAGGCGGUCGUCCUGAUCCCCUACGUGCUGGGCCUCCUGCUGCUGCCGCUGCUGGCUGUGGUGCUGUGCGUGCGGUGCCGAGAGCUGCCAGGUGAGUGGGGGCUCGGCCCUCCUCUACCUCUCGCUCCGUCCCGACUGUCCCGAACUCUGCUUGCACGCGAGACCUGAGCCCCGUACUCCCAGCCUCUCCCCUCUUCACCCCGCUUCCUGCCUUACUGGCUUCUCUUCCCCAGGCUCCUAUGACAAUACGGCCUCUGACAGGUGAGUUGCCCGUCGACCCUAGGUGGCUCCCUCAGUGCCCUGUGUGGCCCCGGGGAGGGGAGGGGACUGGGAUGGGAGCUGGGGUCUCUCCUGCCCCUUACCUACCUGUGUCUCUCCUGCCAGCUUGGCCCCAAGUAGCAUCGUGAUCAAACGCCCUCGUGAGUACAUGGAGGCUCCUCUCCCUCGGGUGUAGGGGAGGGGGUCCCCUGGCGUGUGAGAGAAAGCGUGCCUCUGUUCAGGUUCCCCCCCACGGUGGCUGCCCACAUGGCUUUGAUCUGAGCUGGGGAUAGGAAGGGAGAUGGGUGUCCUCAGGCCGGUGCGGGGCCCAGGGCGUUCACAGAAUUCGCCUGCCCUUUGAGGCCUCGAUGAGUGUGGGGGCAAAAUGUCUGGAGUCGUUCCUUGAGCUUGGUCUCGUGUCCUCAGCCACACUCGCCACCUGGACACCAGCCACCUCCUAUCCUCCUGUUACCUCCUACCCACCCUUGAGCCAGCCGGACCUGCUUCCCAUCCCGUGAGUAGCAUCCUCCCCUCCAAAUCCCCCUUUUUAUCCCCCCCGCCUCUGAGGAUUGGGGAUCUCUUUCCCUGUUGCGACCCCUCUUGGUCCGGUGCCCCAUCUCAGCAUGACUUCUGACCUUUGACUCCCAGGAGGUCCCCACAGCCCCCUGGGGGCUCCCACCGCAUGCCAUCUUCCCGGCAGGACUCAGAUGGUGGUAAGUGUGGGGCAGGGCUCAGGGGGCUGGGGCUGGGCAGAGGAUAGACCCCGUGUGAGCUGACUCAGCCUCCCUCUUGCUCUCUCUCUGAAGCCAACAGUGUGGCGAGCUACGAGAACGAGGGUGCGUCUGGGGCCCCAGGUGCCCUGGUUGCAGGGAGGCUGGGGCCUGGGCUGGGCCCUGCUGAUCGCUGUGUCGUUACCUCAGAGCCCGCCUGUGAGGACGACGAUGAAGACGAGGAGGAGGAUUAUCCCAACGAGGGCUACUUGUGAGUGGCCAGGUGGGGGGGUGGGAGCUCCAGCUGGGGGUCCUUACUCACCUGCCCCUUCACUUGUCCUCAGGGAGGUGCUUCCUGACAGCACGCCAGCGACAGGCACUGCUGUCCCACCGGCUCCCGCGCCCAGCAACCCCGGCCUCCGAGACAGCGCCUUCUCUAGUGAGUUGGCCAUUUCUGACACUCUGCGUUGCGGCCCGUCUGCUCUUCCCUCUCCUGUUAUUUCUUUGAUGCUUGCUGCCCCUCCGCAUUCUCUCUCCUCUCUUUCUAGAACACCUGUCCCUCAGGGCGGACUUCCACUCUGAUCUGCUGGUUUCCUUACUUUUUCUAUCCUCUUUUCUAUUUCUUUGUCUUUCCCUUUUACCGUCUCUGAGAUUUCUCCAACUUCACUAUUCUUUGAGACUCUGUUCUUUUGUCUCUUAUCUGAAAGCUCUUUUCUUGGUCUCUGGUGUUCCUUUUUCAUAGCCUUCUGUUCUUGUUUCACAGAGACAAUACCAUCUUGUACAUUUCUACAGAUAUUGAUUAUAGAUUGUCUUCUCUGAGGGUUUUUUGGGAAGUUUUCUUCUGCUUCCGACAUCAUUUUGGUUUCCUUUGAGCUGCUUUUCUCCCUUCGUGUUCGUCUCACGUUGCCUGUUAGAGACUUCCUUCCACGUUUGGUGACCUUCCAUUUUCUGUCGCUCUCUUCACUUUCCGUACCUGUUCCGGGCCGUUCCUUCUACACCCUGACUUCGUGAGCGAGCUCGAUUCCCAACUCCCCACCUCCCCUGAGCUCAUUUAUUCAUCCAUCCCUCACUUACUCGCCGUGUUUACCGGGUGCCUCUGAUAAAACAGCUCACGAGGUAGUGUCAUGAUAAAGGAGCUCAGCUUGUCAGGGACCUACUACGAGCCUUUCUGAGAGCAUUUCGUGUAUUAACUCAUUAAACCUCAGGAUCCCCAGGUGCUCUUGAGCCCAUCUCUUCCCUUCCUGCACCUCGGUUGUCCUGACUGUACGACAGGAGGGAUCACGUAUCUCAUAGACACUUGGCGGCCCCGUUCAGAUAUUCUCGGCUUUAGUUCUCACGGCGCUCCUGGGAGGUGGGUGCCGCCCCUCACCCUAUUCUACAGAUGAGAACACCGAGGCCCAGAGAGGCUAGGUAGCUUGUGUGAGGUGACACGACUGUCAGUGUGGGAGCUGGGUUGGCACCUGGGCUCUCUGGCUCCAAAGCCUGCCUCGUCCACGGCCUCGUGGAGAAACAAGUCCGCAUGAAGGGACAAGAUAGGUGGGAGGCACCCGGGUGGCUCAGUCACUUAGGCGUCCAACUCUCGAUCCCGUCUCAGGUCUUGAUCUCGGGGUCGUGAGUUCAGGUCCCACGUUGGGCUCCGUGCUUGGUGGGGAGCCUACUUUAAGUAGGACAAGAUGGCACCGAUGGCUCCAGGUGCUGGAAGACACCAGGAUGGGAGCGGGGGUCAGGGCAGGCCUGGCCGACGGGGCCAGUGGGGCGACGGCACCUCAGACUCGGCACCCCACAAGCGUUGUCUCACACGUGCCACCCAGCGCCAUGGCUCCGAGCUGCUCUCUGCCCCUGCCCCCAGCCUGGCCGACAUGCUGUCUGUUCUCCCCCACACUUCCACUCCCUCUCAUCCGCUCUGGGCACGUUGCCCUACUUCUCUCCAUCAUCAGGGCCUCUGUGGGACCCUCUGGGGCUGGCUGCGGGGCGGCCUCUGGGGUCUGUGCUCGGGGCUCUGGGUGACAGUGCCGGGGGCCCUGCUUCUCCUGCAGUGGAGUCGGGGGAGGAUUACGUGAACGUCCCCGAGAGCGAGGAGAGUGCAGACGUGUCUCUGGGUGAGUGGCCGGUGCCCCCUAGGGUCCCCCUUCCCUCCCCCACCCUCACCUGCUGUGGCCCUCUUUCUGAGUGUCCUGUUCUCUCACCCUCCACGUGGCCGUCCCCCCUUCUGAUCUGUCCCUGCAGAUGGGAGCCGGGAAUACGUGAAUGUGUCCCAGGAGCUGCCACCCGUGGCUAGGACCGAGCCUGGUGUGUGCUGGGAUGGGGGGUGGCAGGGGCUUGGGGUAACGUGAAAGGUAAUGUGCCCGGGGCAGGAGGGACGGUCUGUGAGCUUAAGACUGAUCUCUUUCCCCUUCCAGCCAUCCUGAGCUCCCAGAACGACGACGAGGAAGAGGGAGCUCCAGAUUAUGAGAAUCUGCAGGGGCUUAACUGAGGGUCCGGUGAGAGGCCCUGCCCACCCUUCCGCGGCCCCUCAGCCCUAUCCUCCGACUCCUUCGGGGACCCCUCGGACCCCCACUGACCUCCUGACAUUGCAACCCCUCCCUCUCCCUGUCCUGUUGUUUCAGCGCGAGGCCAUGCCUGUCCUCGAACCAGCCUUGCUCGGGAGUGCCGAGCUGGGCAGCUGGCAGUGGCUCUGGGGGACCCUCCUAGGCACCCCACCCUGACUGCAGCCUGAGAACAGCCUGAGAAUCUCCCCCCUAACUUAUUGUCACUUUGGGGUCCAGUCUGUGUGCCCCCAACACUCUGCACCUUCUGACGCAGCCUGAGAAUGAGCUACCCUGGCCCCGGCCCUAUUCGGCGGUAGAAUAAAGGCUGGUGUGGUCUGUAGCGCUCUUGCCUUUGGGGGGCCCGUGGGGGGGUUCCGAGUGAGGGUGGGCUUGCCUGGGCGCCCGUGUGGGAGCUGUGUGCACGCACGUGUGUGUGUGUGUGUGUGUGUGUGUGUGUGUGUGUCUGGGGGUCUCCAUCCUCCCUGGGCCGCCGUGUCCCUGAGGGUCCUCACCAGCCGUUGGGAGUGACCAAAUGGUGCCUGGGGCACAGCGCUUCGGCGUGAGGCAAGUCCGACCCAGACUGGGCCUUCUGGGCUUCGAGGCUUCGAUGCAUCUCCCCCAACGCGAUAGUCCACCGGACCCACGGCAGACGAUGGCUGGGAUGAUGG